UACGAAGGGGGCUAGCGUUGUUCGGAAUUACUGGGCGUAAAGCGCGCGCAGGCGGCCAUUCAAGUCAAGGGUGAAAGCCCGGAGCUUAACUCCGGAACUGCCUUUGAAACUGAGUGGCUCGAGUACGGGAGAGGUGAGUGGAAUUCCCAGUGUAGAGGUGAAAUUCGUAGAUAUUGGGAAGAACACCGGUGGCGAAGGCGGCUCACUGGCCCGUUUCUGACGCUCAGGCGCGAUAGCGUGGGGAUCAAACAGG
rnacentral:rRNA from 1 species